CAGUCGCCACGGUAAUACGGAGGGUGCAAGCGUUAAUCGGAAUUACUGGGCGUAAAGCGCACGCAGGCGGUCUGACAAGUCAGAUGUGAAAUCCCCGGGCUUAACCUGGGAACUGCAUUUGAAACUGUCAGGCUGGAGUCUUGUAGAGGGGGGUAGAAUUCCAGGUGUAGCGGUGAAAUGCGUAGAGAUCUGGAGGAAUACCGGUGGCGAAGGCGGCCCCCUGGACAAAGACUGACGCUCAGGUGCGAAAGCGUGGGGAGCAAACAGGAUUAGAUACCCGGGUAGUCCCUGUCUCUUAUAC
rnacentral:rRNA from 1 species